rnacentral:rRNA from 1 species
GGCAGGAUCCAGAGUACCACGAGACACGAGAAACCUUGUGGGAACGCGCGGGGACCACCCCGUAAGGCUAAAUACUCCUUAGUGACCGAUAGUGCAUAGUACUGUGAAGGAAAGGUGAAAAGGACCCCGGGAGGGGAGUGAAAGAGAACCUGAAACCCUGUGUUUACAAGCUGUGGAACACCUUUAUAUGGUGGACCGCGUACUUUUUGUAGAACGGUCCGGCGAGUUGUGCAUACUGGCAAGGUUAAGCGUCUAAGACGCGGAGCCGUAGGGAAACCAAGUCUGAACAGGGCCAGAGUCAGUAUGUGCAGACCCGAAACCGGGUGAUCUAUCCAUGUCCAGGUUGAAGCUGCCGUAAGAGGUAGUGGAGGACCGAACGCACAUCCGUUGAAAAGGGUGGCGAUGAGGUGUGGAUAGGGGAGAAAUUCCAAUCGAACCCGGAGAUAGCUGGUUCUCCUCGAAAUAGCUUUAGGGCUAGCCUCGGUAUAGAUUCAUGGAGGUAGAGCACUGAAUUUCCUAGGGGGCGUCAAAGCCUACCGAAGAAUAUCAAACUCCGAAUGCCAUCGAACCGAUUACCGGGAGUCAGACUAUACGAGAUAAGUUGGAUAGUCAAAAGGGAAAGAGCCCAGACCUCCAGCUAAGGUCCCAAAGUGCGUGUUAAGUGGAAAAGGAUGUGGGAUUUCAAAGACAACCAGGAUGUUGGCUCAGAAGCAGCCAUCCAUUCAAAGAGUGCGUAAUAGCUCACUGGUCGAGAGGUCCUGCGCCGAAAAUGUCCGGGGCUGAAACACGACACCGAAGCUGAGGAAUGACAUAGUCAUUGGUAGAGGAGCAUUGAAUGCGGGAAGAAGCAGUACCGUAAGGAGCUGUGGACUGCAUUGAAGAGAGAAUGCCGGAAUGAGUAGCGAGAACAAGGUGGGAAUCCUUGUGGCCGAAUAUCUAAGGUUUCCAGGGUAAAGCUGAUCUGCCCUGGGUAAGUCGGGGCCUAAGGCGAGGUCGAAAGACGUAGCCGAUGGACAACAGGUUGAGAUUCCUGUACUGCGAUAUGACAGAACUGUGGGGACACGUGUGGAGAGCACAUCCCGGGAAUGGAAUCCCGGGGCAAGCGAGGUAGGGGUCUGGUAGGAAAAACCGCCAGGCAACCCGAAGGCGUGACGCGGACCGAACUAAAGUAGGGAAGUGUGUGAGCCAUG